GAUGAACGCUGGCGGCGUGCCUAAUACAUGCAAGUCGAGCGAACGGACGAGAAGCUUGCUUCUCUGAUGCUAGCGGCGGACGGGUGAGUAACACGUGGAUAACCUACCUAUAAGACUGGGAUAACUUCGGGAAACCGGAGCUAAUACCGGAGGAUCUUUUGAACCGCAUGGUUCAAAAGUGAAAGACGGUCUUGCGGUCACUUCUAGCUGGAUCCGCGCUGCAUUAGCUGGUUGGUAAGGUAACGGCUUACCAAGGCUACGAUGCGUAGCCGACCUGAGAGGGUGAUCGGCCACACGUGAGCUGGGACACGGUCCAGACGCCUACGGGAGGCAGCAGUAGGCAAUCGGCCGCAAUGGGCGAAAGCCUGACGGAGCAGCGCCGCGUGAGUGAUGAAGGUCUUCGGAUCGUAAAACUCUGUUAUUAGUUAAGAACAUAUUUGUAAGUAACUGUGCACAUCUUGACGGUACCUAAUCAGAAAGCCCCGGCUAACUACGUG
rnacentral:rRNA from 1 species